UACAGAGGGUGCGAGCGUUAAUCGGAAUUACUGGGCGUAAAGCGUGCGUAGACGGUUAUCUAAGUCGGAUGUGAAAGCCCCGGGCUCAACCUGGGAAUUGCAUUCGAGACUGAAUAGCUAGGGUACGGUAGAGGGAAGUGGAAUUCCCGGUGUAGUGGUGAAAUGCGUAGAUAUCGGGAGGAACACCGGUGGCGAAGGCGGCAUCCUGGACCAAUAUUGACGCUGAGGAGCGAAAGCCAGGGGAGCAAACGGG
rnacentral:rRNA from 1 species